rnacentral:misc_RNA from 1 species
GAUGAAGAACGUAGCGAAAUGCGAUAAGUAGUGUGAAUUGCACAAUUCAGUGAAUCAUCGAAUCUUUGAACGCACAUUGCGCCCCUUGGUAUCCCGAGGGGCAUGCCUGUUCGAGCGUCAUUUCACCACUCAAGCCUGGCUUGGUGUUGGGCGACGUCCUCUUUGGGGACGCGCCUCGAAACGCUCGGCGGCGUGGCACCGGCUUUAAGCGUAGCAGAAUCUUUCGCUUUGGAAGUCGGGGCCCCGUCUGCCGGAAGACCUGCUCGCAAGGUUGACCUCGGAUCAGGCAGGGAUACCCGCUGAACUUAAGCAUAUCAAUAAGCGGAGGA